rnacentral:rRNA from 1 species
CCUACGGGGGGCAGCAGUGGGGGAUAUUGCACAAUGGGGGGAACCCUGAUGCAGCGACGCCGCGUGGGUGAAGGAGCGUUUCGGCGCGUAAAGCCCUAUCGGCAGGGAAGAAGAUGACGGUACCUGGCCAAGAAGCCCCGGCUAACUACGUGCCAGCAGCCGCGGUAAUACGUGGGGGGCAAGCGUUAUCCGGAUUUACUGGGUGUAAAGGGGGCGCAGACGGCAAUGCAAGCCAGUAGUGAAAGCCCGGGGCCUAACCCCGGGACUGCUCUUGGAACUGCAUGGCUGGAGUACAGGAGGGGCAGGCGGAAUGCCUAGUGUAGCGGUGAAAUGCGUAGAUAUUAGGAGGAACACCGGUGGCGAAGGCGGCCUGCUGGACUGUGACUGACGUUGAGGCCCGAAGGCGUGGGGAGCAAACAGGAUUAGAUACCCGUGUAGUC